AGCACAGCUCCUCUCAGGCAGUCUGCAUGUGGCUUUGUGACGGAGAGCUGGUCGGGUGAGGCAGUGACUGUCUCUCUACUGACUGCAACAUGUAGAAGUCUGGUGGGGACUGUCGUAGUACAGCAGGAGGAUUAGUGACCAGCAACUGAAGAGCUUGCCAUGGUGCACAGACUGUGGAGAAGAGCCAGUCGGUCGCUGUUGCUUGGAAUGGUUCCCCCGGAGGACGCUGUCAUCAACUGGGAGACAAGACCCACGGCAUGGCUAGCAGGUGUGUGAGUCCAUGGAUGACUUAACACAUAAGUGGAUAUAAGCUUCUGGAGCUCUGAACCGGUGUCUGAUCAGUGAGCAUGUUGUAUGUCUUCGCCACUUGCCGUCUUGAAGCCUCUGCUUUUCCAUAUCUGGCCCACAAUCCCGUGCUGGGAUGGUAAGGAUCCUGAGUCUCAUAAUUUGGUAUUGAUUAGAAUGUUUAUUGCAAUAAUCAAUGAACAUAGCCAGCUAGUAUAUGUAAUUUCCUUAAAUGAAUUACAUAGAUAUUUCUGUGAGAAACUAUUUUGUUAAGAGCAAUAUGAUUUCUCCAGCUGCAUUCACAAGGACAUUUAGUUAACUCCCAGGCUAAGAUAGAACUUUAAUUGCAUGAUGAAAACAUUAAAGGAGUAUGUUUUGGAAUGUCCAGAUGACAAUGGAAAGAAGGCUUUUAAGAUGAAUGUCCAGAUCGUGAUAAGAGAAAGGCCUUCUCAUUAAAUUAAUGAGCAAACUGUGAUAAGAACAUAAAUAGAGGAAUGCUUUAAUUGGGUUGAUUAAAUCACUGUUUAUCUUUGCACACGGUGUACUUUGAUUGGCUAACACACUGCCAUACCUUUAUUCCUUUGUUCUUUUGUGUAUAAAUAAAGGCUCCUAGAG